GGAAGUGUAGUUUAAGUGAGAAUGGUACUUUUGUAAAGUAUUGGUGUGUUUUACUGUCUUCUUUA
rnacentral:tRNA from 1 species